ACGGGAGGCAGCAGUGGGGAAUAUUGCACAAUGGGCGCAAGCCUGAUGCAGCGGUGCCGCGUGAGGGAAGAAGGUUUUCGGAUUGUAAACCUCUGUCAACAGGGACGAAAAUGACGGUACCUGUGAAGGAAGCUCCGGCUAACUACGUGCCAGCAGCCGCGGUAAUACGUAGGGAGCAAGCGUUAUCCGGAAUUACUGGGUGUAAAGGGAGUGUAGGCGGGACUGUAAGUCAGAUGUGAAAUAUGCCGGCUCAACUGGCAGACUGCAUUCGAAACUGCGGUUCUUGAGUGCAGUAGAGGUAAGCGGAAUUCCUAGUGUAGCGGUGAAAUGCGUAGAUAUUAGGAGGAACAUCAGUGGCGAAGGCGGCUUACUGGGCUUUAACUGACGCUGAGGCUCGAAAGCGUGGGGAGCAAACAGGAUUAGAUACCCUGGUA
rnacentral:rRNA from 1 species